UCUUAAUAUCCUUGAGCGGAAUAAAGUUUUACUUGAAGAAUUAUGGUAAUGAAAUUUGUAGCAACAAAACUGUGCAAACCGUCAAGAAUGCAAUCACUUGUCAAUCAAAUUCAGGACAGGAAAAAAAAACCUUGUUUAGAUGUAUUUCUUUUUUUUCUGCGAAGACACAUAAGGAUGGCUGCCCCCUUCGUGUGAUUAUUUCAAAGAAGGAAACAUGGCAGAAAUGUUUAGGUCUACUCCUACAAGAUAAGUUCACUAUGCUAAAAAUUGAAGACCCGAAUUCCACGCAGGUUGUCGAAUAUUGUCGGCCUUUUCGAUCGAUAUAAAAUAUCUUUUUUACUCUUUACCGAGAGAUACACUACUAUUGUGUGUUGAAGAUGCCUUUGACAAGGUAAGUGCCGUUUCCUUUCUAAACAGUUCUGGAGCAUUCAUUAGUGCUUUUUUAGAAUUGCUUGAGGUGUAUCUAAUAUCUACCUUUGUCCAUGUGGAACAAAGGUAUUUACCUGCAAAAAAAAAAGAAAAGCGGAAUUUGCAUUGGGUCAUGUAUUGCCCCUGUCCUUAGCGACCUAUAUUUAGCGAUUCAUGACAGGAAUAUGAACAAAUGUCUCGAAGGAAUAAAUGUAAUCCAAGUUUUUAGAUUUGCAGACGACUUUCUAAUCAUCAUUGACAACGCCAAAGCGGUUUUUCAUCAAGCAGCUGGAAACAUGCUUGCCAUUUUCAAGCGAAACUUAACACCUUUAAUUUUGACGCAUGAACUGCCUGAGAAGAAUUCCAUUAGGUUUUUAGUGCUACGACGAAAUUUUUUUAAGUGAUCACGUAUUUUGGGGUUAUGAAACAAGAGCAAGAAAUGCUUUAUUGCCCGCUGUAUCUGCACACUCCAAGCUCGUGGAGCGUAGCUUUGUUAACUACUGCUUUACUAAUGUUCUAACGAAAUAUUGUCAACAUAUAAUCCAAGAAAGCCUCGCACUUCAAAAUAAACGGCUGUAUGAUGCGGGUCGAGGGCCUGUUGCAAAAAAAAAUAUGAGAACAGUCGGGCAAUCUGAGAAGAAAGAUGUGGCAAGUUUGGUUGCGCGCAAGAAAAUGGCCGUUAUUCCGUAUAUCCACCAGGCUUCCCAUAAGUUGAAGAACAUUGGAAAACGCGUAGGUGUUGAUGUUCUGUUUUCGGCUCCGCUAAAACAUUCAGUCCUUUGCUAGAAAACAAACCCGUGCAAUGGCUUCAAGAUUCAACACCAAAAACAUUUUGUCUCUUGCGACGAGAGUGUCGUUCAUCGCGUGCUGUUGUCUUUCGGACCAGAAUACAAUGUGCAGACUGGCAGAUGCAUAAACACCAGACUAAAAUAGCACAAGCAUAUAAGUGACGGUAAUCAGGGCCAGCUUAGCUUACGUUGCCGUAAAGGUGAUGAUAAGUCUACGCGUCGUCGUACCGAGCCAUGCGCGCCUGAGAAAAAAAAAAGCGGAAUUGUUUCUCGACACAAGGAUCACUUACAUUAACCAAGGAAGAGCUAAGGUUUUUAGGUUGUUGGUGAUUAGGAGCUUGGGGAUAUCACCUUCUGCCACUCAUGCUGAUUGUUAUUUUUCUUUUCCUUUCUCCUUCCCCCCCGCUUCGUAUAUGUACAUAUGCCUAGCAUAAACAGUUUGAAGUCAGCGGUCUUUUCACCCGGUCUAUAUCGUCGUCCCUUCCUUAGUUUUCGCGCUGUUACACAAGUUGCCACUCCCAGCUCUCUGAGAACAGAGGGUCUACACUCUACGUGUUUCGUAAAACGCCUGAAUCAAGACAACACUCGACGUCCUCAGGACGUCCUCAAAUGACACAAACGUCCUCACAGUUUUACGACGUCCUCGGUACAUCCUCGGGACAACAUUCACGUGUUCAUCCUGAAAACAUCUUUCGCAGGGUUUAUUAAGGAUGUCUGAUUAUCCAAGGAACGUCCACUACAGGUCAUCUUGAAGGCAUUUAGUUAUAUGUAAGAAAAAAACCCUGAAAUUGAAAUAUUUGCGAUUGUUUCGGUUGAUGAAUGAAAAAUUAGGUGCUAUGCUUCAUGUGACAUUGUUACUACUCCGUGAAGCUUGAUUUUGACCUUUUUUUUUUCGUUGAGUUAAACCUUGAUCAACUGCUCUUGAUACCUCACCACUGUUUUUGAUUGAACCAUUUUUUAAAACUUGUAUCGUUGUGAGUACCCGCGGGCGAUAGCAUUUGUGAUUGGCAAUGAAAGAAUGAACCGGCAAGGUAUCCUGCGAUAUGUCAGCGACCAAGCCACCUCAUUUUCUUUCCUUGCUGGCACCGUCGUGUCUGGCACAUUGGCACUUUCGAUUUGAAAAGUCAAGCCAAGCCAGUCCAAGCCAAGGGCAGCAUUGGAGGAAAACAGGGCAGCCGGACAGCGGUGUCUCCUAUGGGCUCUCGCGCUUCAAUCUUUUUUUGGAUAAAGACAUUUCAAGCGGACAGUUCCCCUGACUUUACCACGCUUCUUUCAACCUUUCAACGUUUCUUGUCAGUGCGACAUGCACCGUUAUUAAGUGAAAUUAAUAAAAGGCUGUUGUGUGCAUCA